rnacentral:tRNA from 1 species
AUUUAUAUAGUUUUUAUAAAACAUUUUAUUUUCAUUAAAAAAAAAGUUAAUAGCUUAUAAAUU